AAAGAUUCAUUCCAAAAAGUGAUUCUGAUAAAAUAUGAAAGCUGUGACUUUACUGAUUUUCAUUUAAAGAAAGACUACCAAAGUGUGGGUAAUUGCAAAGGGCAGAAGAGCAGUUUAAUGGAUUUCAUCAAUGUUUAUCAACUACCCAGAGCAAAACUUGUCAGUGUAAUAAAUGUGGCAAAGCUUUAGAGUUGUGCUCAAACUUCAGUGAGCAUAAAAAAAAUUUAGUGGAGAGAAAUGCUACAAAUGUGAAGAAUGUGGCAAAGACUGUAGGUUGUUCUCAGAUUUUACUAUAAAAAAGAUAAUUCAUAUUGCAAAUAAUCCUACAAAUGUAAAGAAUGUGACAAAGCUUUUAAAAAGUUUUCAAGCCUUACUGAACAUAAAAGAGUCCAUACUGGAACAAAACCCUACAAAUAUAAAGAACGUGGCAAACAUUUACAUGCUCCUCAACCCUUAUUUAAACACAAGAGAAAUCAUACUGGAGGUAAACCCUACAAAUGUGAAGAAUGUGGUAAAGCCUUUAAGUACUUCUCAGACCUUACUAAUCAUAAGAAAAUUCAAACUGUAGGGAAACCCUACAAAUGUGAAAAAUGUGACAAAACAUUGAGCUUGUUUUCACAGCUCAUUGGACAUAAGAUAAUUCAUAGUAGAGAGAAGGUCCAUAAGUGU
rnacentral:lncRNA from 1 species